UUUAAAUAUAUUACAAUUUUAUUUGUCAGCUGUACCUCAAUAGACUUAGCCAUGAAUUUUACCCUCCUAGACCCUAAGUCUUGUGCUGCCUUCAAGGUACAGAAGCCCUUAACCACAGGAAGCCAGUGUUUCAUUCCGGAAAUGACUCCACCUCAUAGGUUUGGAGACCAUGUCUGUCUUUCCCCAGAGCCAGCAGUUUGAUAGUCAAAUAGAAAUCAGAUAAAGAGAAUUGGCCCUUGGAGAACAUGGGCCCAAGGUGAGAACUGCCAGGGGCCGUUUCAGGAGCCUGGAGUUUACCUGCACCGGGCCCUGCGCUCCUUUCACUGGAAGCAUCCACCUCGGCAGCCCGGCCUUUGUAUGCACUGCUCACCGGCUUGACCAUUUGCGCAAUCUGGGCAGUGACUGGGCUGGGGCAGCACAUCCCAAGACAGCAGACUUUCUACAGGCCACUUCCUGGAAAGAGGGGAACCCCCGGGAGAGAGGAUGAUUACUUAACAGGCUGUGUAAGCUGUCCGGCUGAUUCACCCAGAACCCAUUCAGGGAACCAGCAAGGCUGAGCGGUGUUUACUUUUGCAGAAUGUGGGAUGGUGCCUUGGACUCGGGCGAGCUCUGGGAACACCCACACGGCAGAUGAGGCCCCCAGAGAUGGAGACAGAGACAAGGGAAAACAGACCAUGGCAGGCUGUGCCGGUGGAAUCAUGGCGACUGACCCUUGACACACUAAGGUUUACCUGAGGGAGGAAGCACCACAGAACGCCCCACGCACUGGGGUCAGCGUUGCCCAGUAGGACUCACCCUCCCCUUGUGCACAUGCGUGUUUCACAUACGCCGAGGUCUUCCACGUGCGUGACCUCGCCUGAGCGUUUGCGUUUGGCCGUUUGACCCACAGUAAAGGGAAGGAAGAGUCAAGCGUCGUUACGGCAAUUGAUGGAAGCCGUUUACGAUCACGUCCUGGUUCUGCAUCAAGCAUCCUCUCCUUUAACUUAAAGCAGGGUGCAGAGUAGGUGCUGCUAUCGUCCCCACUUCACAGCUGAUGAAACUGAGGCUUGAGGUUCUAGAAAUGCGAGUCACGGCAGGCGAGCGGCAGAGCCGACUCCCACUGACACCCCAGCCCCACCCGACCCAUUUGCAUAAUUCAAACCAACGAUCCUCUGCAGCUGUCCCCGGCUCUCUGGUGGCUGGUCACAGGGGCCAGUUGGGAGGGAGCCCCGGAUGCCACGGAGCCCUGCGCGAGCGCUCUGGUCCGCCUCACCUCAGGAGGCAGAGAGGCUACUCACGCCACUCUCACCGCAGUGAUCUCGCCUCUAAUGGCCUCCACGGCUGGAGAGGGUGGGUGUGGCAGUGCCCACAGCCAGGGCCACCAGCCAGGCACCGAACAUCAGGGCCACGGAUCAGCCCACACUCCCAGCUGCCGCCCCCGUAGCCUCGGACCAGACGGACGGCUAGGUCGGUCCUGGCGCAGAGCACGUGUGGGAAGAGAGAGCAAUGCAGGCGAGACCCGGAAAGCAGGCUGUCGGUGCGUGAAGAAGGGUUUUCUUCUUUGGACCUAGAGAAGGAGGUGAAGGGAGGGGGCACCAUGUUUUGAUUUCCUACUGGGAGCCAGUGUGGUGUAAGCACCUGCGUGAUCUCACUGAGUCUUCACAGCCGCUCAGUGAGAUGGGUAUCGUUCAUUCAUCCAUCCAUUUAUUCAUCCAUUCAUUCAUUCACUUAAAUAUUUCUGGC